AACGAACGCUGGCGGCAGGCUUAACACAUGCAAGUCGAACGCCCCGCAAGUGGAGUGGCAGACGGGUGAGUAACGCGGGGGAACAUACCCUUUCCUGCGGACUAGCUCCGGGAAACUGGAAUUAAUACCGCAUACGCCCUACCGGGGACAGAUUAAUCGGGGAAGGAUUGGCCCGCGUUGGAUUAGCUAGUUGGUGGGGUAAAGGCCUACCAAGGCGACGAUCCAUAGCUGGUCUGAGAGGAUGAUCAGCCACAUUGGGACUGAGACACGGCCCAAACUCCUACGGGAGGCAGCAGUGGGGAAUAUUGGACAAUGGGCGCAAGCCUGAUCCAGCCAUGCCGCGUGAGUGAUGAAGGCCUUAGGGUUGUAAAGCUCUUUCACCGAUGAAGAUAAUGACGGUAGUCGGAGAAGAAGCCCCGGCUAACUUCGUGCCAGCCGCCGCCGUAAUAC
rnacentral:rRNA from 1 species